GCUCCUUUUUACAAAGCAGGACCUAGGCUUGUUUGCCCAAUGCAGAGGGUGCUGAGAGGCUUAAUUAAUGUUUGUAAAGCAUUAUGUGAUCUGUGGAUGAGGGAUCUCAUUGCCAUGCUAACUGUCAUUACUCGGAAAGAGUUCGCUUUGAACGGACAGAGCACUCAAGGAGUAUCAGAGAAACGUGAGCCAAUUUCCGGGGACAGACAGAAUGAUACCCUUGUAACCUGCGGAAAAAAACUUGAUGUUACAAAAAUUGCUUCUGCACCUGGAUGAAGAAAAGUAAUUUCCUGCCAGAAGAAAAGAGGAGAAACAUACAAGCGGGAUCUUAGACUGGGGGCACUGGACCUGGAAAUGACCUUGGAUUUCAUCUAAUCCCAUACCUUCAUUCUAUAAUCAAGAAAACUGAGGCCCAAUACCACAUCUUCAGUCAUUUAUCUAAGGUCACAUAGGUAUAAAGAUCACAAGCAGAAUUUGAUACCAGAUUCUCUGACUCUAGAGUCCAACUGCACUUUCCAUUGUACCAGAAACAAUAAAAUUACAGUGACACAGAGUCUCUGAGACUGC
rnacentral:lncRNA from 1 species